GACGAACGCUGGCGGCGUGCUUAACACAUGCAAGUCGAACGGAAAGGCCCCUUUGGGGGUACUCGAGUGGCGAACGGGUGAGUAACACGUGAGUAACCUGCCCUUGACUUCGGGAUAACGUCAGGUAACUGGGGCUAAUACUGGAUAGGAAUAAUUGCUGCAUGGUGGGGGUUGGAAAGCUUCGGGGGGUUUGGAUGGACUCGCGGCAUAUCGGCUUGCUGGUGGGGUUGUGGCUUACCAAGGCGUUGACGGGUAGCCGGCCUGAGAGGGCGACCGGCCACAUUGGGACUGAGAUGCGGCCCAGACUCCGACGUGAGGCAGCUGUGGGGAAUAUUGCACAAUGGGCGGAGGCCUGAUGCAGCAGCGCCGCGGGCGGGAUGACGGCCUUCGGGUUGUAAACCGCUUUCAGCAGGGGCGAAGCUUGUGUUGACGGUACCUACAGAAGAAGCACCGGCUAACUACGUG
rnacentral:rRNA from 1 species